CUCAUCUGCAAGAGAAGAAGAGGGAGAGUUAACAGUGAUGGCAGGGCUGCAGCCCUCGCUGUGUCCUUCCUUCUCCCCCCGAGGCGGGAGAAGAGCUGCCCCAGAAAAGUGGGAGAUGCCACCAAGAGCCGACGCGCAAAGCCAACACAGAAUUUGCCCGCUGGGAUAACGUGGGGCAAGCGAUGCUGUGGGGCUGGGGGCAUCAUUUCCAAGAGGUUCAGUGAUCCUGGGGAUCCAGCAGAAGAGAGUGUGCAGCUCAUGCCUGUGUGCAACAGCGAGGGGAGGAACCAGCGUCCGUGCGAGAGAAGCUCCUCCAGAAGCAGAAACAGGUACGGAGCACUCACAGCAGCAGUCUCUGCUGAGACCUCAUCCUGCUCCCAGGCACUGUGCCAGGCUGGCUGUCACCUGUCCCAGGUCCUCUCCAGCACAGCAGCAGCCUUUGGGAAUCCCCAGCACGUGCCACCACGCAGCAAGCASGUACUGCUGCUUCCACUUGGAGCUGGCAUUCCCCUUCACCACCCCACUGAGGCAUCCCUGCUCCUUCCAGCAUCCCAGACCAUAGACCUGGCACGCCACAUCCACCYGUGAUCUCUGCAUGACAUCACAUUCCUGGAAUAAAGGGUUUUCCCGAGGAUGGCCCCUGGUGCCUGCCACCCCGAACCCUGCUGGCCGUGCAGGGUGUACUCACAGGGCUCCCGGGCGAUGAACUGAGACAUAACUGGGAUUUUUCCUGCUGAAUAAACAGGAGACGCUAGGAAUGCUGCCUCUGACUUUUAUCUACGGCAAAAAUCCUGAGUUUUGAAGCCCUCCUGGAUGGCCCUGAGAAAGGUGAGAGGGGUGCAGCCCCCAGGGGAUGGGGAUGCCAUGGAGCUAGCUGGCAUGGGAGAUGCACAUCCCUGGGACAGAGGAAUUCAGAGAAUAUCUGGGGACAGGGAAAUGGAAAAAUGGAGUGGCUGGGCCAGGCACACUCACGUUCAGCGCGUUCUUCGCUGCCUCCGCCUCGGAGCGGCUGUCAAAGCUGACGAAGCCCACGGGCUGUGGAGGAAGGACAGGAGGCAUCAGUCAGGUUGGUGGGGGGCAAAAGGGGGAGCCCCUCACCCCAGGGAAUGGUGGGAUGUUUGCCCCCCUUGGAGCAGCUCCUACCUGCUUGGAGGUGAGUUUGAUGAGAGACCCUUCGUACCCCUGCAAGGAAGGAACAAAGGGUGUUUGUUGGAGAUGCCCACGAUUAAAUAAUAACUGAAUAAACUGACUGAAAUAAACUUUGUGAGGAGAACCUGUAGGCUCCCAGAUCCCAGCAAGUUGUUUGGGGCCAUGGGACUAAGGCAGGGGUCAGGCCCAUGUUUUCAGCCCCACUUUCCCUCCCCARUUUGUUACCUUAAAGGGUCUGAACAGCAGGUAAAGUUCUCGGGGCUUGAUGUCCAGAGGCAACCCACUGACAAAGAGUGUCCUCACCUGGAAAAGAAGAAAGGAGGUUCCUGGGGACCUCUCUCAUCCCAUACUUCCUGCAACCAGAGAAACUAGCUAGCCCAAGGGGAAGGGACCUCCUGGGCAGCCAAAAGCCUUAAGCCACACUUGAGUGAUGCUGAAUUUUUAGGAGGGGUGUACUCAUCCUUCAGGUGGCCCCGGAAGAAGCUGCCAAGGCACCAUGGAAAGGUAACAGAGACCUGUCCUCSCCCCUCUAAGUGCUCUCCAGGACAAAGAGCUCGCAGAAUCCCUUCCUACCCCAGGCUGGCAAACAARAUUUGUCCCGUCAUCUCCAGCGGAUCCCCAGCAGAUCCCAGACUCCACAGACAAUGCCUAUUGUCUCAAUUUAAUUGCAGCAGCUCAUUAAGGAMGGGGAGAAGUAAACCCCAGCUCUUCCUCCUGGAGGAAUGGCCCUGGUUUGGACGGAGCUGGAUUGUAAAAGUCACCAUUUAAGGGGUUUUUAUCCUUUUUGGGUGAAUCUAAUGUUUGUCAUGGUGCAGCAUUCUAAAAGCUGGGGUGUUUGGCAGAAAUCCUGCUCCCAGCACCCCCAGGGGGAAUAUGGGACUUCUCAGGGUUGGGCAAACCCUGUGCUGGGAUGGUUUUGCUUUCCAACCAGCUCGUAACCAGGAGAGCAGUGUGGGGAACUGGAUCUGCUGCCGKUUCAUCUCUCCUCAUCCCCAAAAUCUCAUCCAAACAUUUUGAGCUGGAGGAGGGAAAACCUCGAUGUAUUUUAUUUAAUUUUUUUGGCCAGGCACCCUGCCURCCCCAUUCCCUGGGAAAGAGACAUGGGAAACAGCCAGAAACARCCAGCCCAGGCCUAUUCUUUUGCUGACAUUUCUUCUUUCUCUUGCAGAUAAGCUAUCUCCCGCAUCUCCCAGCCUGAGAGCAGCAAACAUUCCUGCUUUGUGGAACAAAACCUCUGGCUGACCUAUAUCUAUUAAAUAACAAAAGGGUAAGGAGGCACCACGGGGGCAUUUUCCUGGCUCGGACCUCAUCAGAUGGCCCGAAGGGAUGCCGGCCCUGCAUAACCCCAAGGAACCGCCUGUGGUCCCGCAGGGCCGCACUCGGCCCCGGAGCAGCGUGAYGGAGCCCCUCGGGGUGGAGAGCGGCAGCUGCGGCCAGAGCAGGUGCUGCCUGCGCACAAUGCUCGGGGAGCGGAGGUGACGCCGAGGACAUCCUGCCGUGGCACAGGGCUCCUUCCCAACGGGCGCUUAAGGUCACYGCUCGCCUUUCUGCGCCUCACCGGCCGAGACAGAGCUGGGGGCAGCUGCCUGCGUGUCCUGCCGGCUGCCCAGGGGACACAGCUUGGCCACCGCCGGCUUUGCAGCCUCCUCGCAGCAGUGAUUUACAGGGCAGAACCUCUCCUGCCGGGAGCGAGUUGGAAAUGAGCUGCGCCAGGUGGAUUUAGGGGAGCGGGAAGUGUCUGGCUACAAGGGCAGCUGACUCCCAGAGGGAAUCAGAGCACAGGGACCAAUCUAAUCACCCAAAUCUGCUGGAGCCUCUGGCUUUUGGGGUAGGUUUUCAGCAGGGGGAGAAUGUGAUGUGUUUUAUCUCCCGUUGUUUCCCCCCCAGCACAGACACAAAAGGUUCUGGCUGGACAGCAGGCGGGACAAUAUUCACAACCCUUAUUUGGACUCAGCUUUGGGGAAGAGCUGCAGCGCUGGAACCCAGUUUGGAAUCCCAAACCAGAAAAAGGGCAGGAAUUUCUGCUGCAGCAUCGAUGUCCAUCUGUGCCAGGACAGAAGACUGGAUUGUGUCACACAGGGAUAGAAGGGGAAGUUGUGGACGAUGGGGACUCUGUGGCUGGGAAGCGUGGCGAUUCUCGAGGCUUCAGUGGAACAAAUGGAGGAGGUUCAGCUCCGUUCUGGGAGGUAAACCGAGCAGGAGCAGCCUUCGGGGGAAGGGGCAGAGGGUGACACCRGGUCCGUGGAGCCUUUCCCAUCCCAGGGCCGGCGUGGAUGCGGAUGCGGGGCCGGGACCCCCGAGGAACGCGGGGCCACAUCGCCCUCUGCCGGCGCGACGGGCGAGGAGCGGGGAGGUGGCACCGGGGCUGUCCCCGGGAGUGACGUGUGACACCCGCCCYGACCGCGCUUGUGUGACCCAGGCACUGCACACUGCAGUCAAAGGGCUGCGGUUCCCUUGGACAGAACAGGGGGUGUUUUAUUCCCAAAACAAAGCACGAACAACAGAGUUAACRCGUGAGAGACAACAGACACAAAGCAGGUCUGAGAUUCCCAGUGUGAGAUAAAUAAAUGACACAAAUAAGCAAGAAAUCGAUUGAUGGAAUGAGGGAUGUGAAGACCGGAUGCUUCCUGGAGUGUGCGGUGCUUCCCAGGACCAAACACCGGAACAGGCACUGGAAGCAGGGGGUGAGUGCUCAGCUCUUGACAGGGGUGGACGAGGCCUUCACGGUCUUCUUCAGGUGGUGRUAGUUGGGCAGGAUCUUCAUCAGGAAAUCCAGCUGCAGUGUCUGGGGCUGGAAAGGGAGGCAGGGGAGGUGAGGGAGCAGCCRGAGGGGAGGUGGCAGCGUGUCCCCGUGUCACACACGCACCUGCGGCCGCUCGGUCUGCACGCGCCGCAGGCAGUCGGCCCCGUAGAUGACGGUGUUCUCCGGGAUCACCUCGUACGUGUUGACGUUGCAGCAGGCGCCGAUGAUGCAGCCGCUCGUCAGGAUCACGUUCCUGCCCACAAACGCUGCCAGGGAGAGGGAGAGAGAGGAAUCCCUGUGAGGAUUGUCCCCACAGCAUUUAUAGGAGCGCGAUGGUGAAAAACCCUGAUGCCAUUUUCAAAGCACCACCCAGCCCUGGGCCACUUGAACCCUGACAGAGCCCACAGAUGCUUCCCCCUGGAGGGAUCCAGAAGCACAGAUGGUUUGUCCCUGCACAGAAAGGAUACA